rnacentral:rRNA from 1 species
CCUACGGGAGGCAGCAGUGGGGAAUCUUGCGCAAUGGGCGAAAGCCUGACGCAGCAACGCCGCGUGCGGGAAGAAGGCUUUCGGGCUGUAAACCGCUUUCAGCAGGAACGAAAAUGACGGUACCUGCAGAAGAAGGAGCGGCCAACUAUGUGCCAGCAGCCGCGGUGAUACAUAGGCUUCAAGCGUUGUCCGGAUUUAUUGGGCGUAAAGAGUUCGUAGGCGGUCGAGUAAGUCGGGUGUGAAAAUUCUGGGCUCAACCCAGAGACGCCACCCGAUACUGCUUGACUUGAGUUCGAUAGGGGAGUGGGGAAUUCCUAGUGUAGCGGUGAAAUGCGCAGAUAUUAGGAGGAACACCGGUGGCGAAGGCGCCACUCUGGAUCGAUACUGACGCUGAGGAACGAAAGCAUGGGUAGCAAACAGGAUUAGAUACCCUGGUAGUCCAUGCCGUAAACGGUGGGCACUAGGUGUGGGUUUCUAUUAACGAAUUCCGCGCCGUCGCUAACGCAUUAAGUGUCCCGCCUGGGGAGUACGGUCGCAAGACUAAAACUUAAAUGAAUUGACGG